rnacentral:rRNA from 1 species
UACGUAGGCAGCAAGCGUUGUUCGGAAUUACUGGGCGUAAAGAGUGUGUAGGCGGUGUUCUAAGUUUGUCGUGAAAUCUCCCGGCUUAACUGGGAGGGUGCGGCGAAAACUGGAAUGCUAGAGGAUGGGAGAGGUAAGCGGAAUUCCUGGUGUAGCGGUGAAAUGCGUAGAUAUCAGGAGGAACACCAAUGGCGAAGGCAGCUCGCUGGAACGGUACUGACGCUGAGGCGCGAAAGCGUGGGGAGCAAACAGG